rnacentral:rRNA from 1 species
UACGUAGGGGGCAAGCGUUGUCCGGAUUUAUUGGGCGUAAAGAGCUCGUAGGCGGCUUGUUGCGUCGACCGUGAAAACCCGGGGCUCAACUUCGGGCUUGCGGUCGAUACGGGCGGGCUAGAGUUCGGUAGGGGAGACUGGAAUUCCUGGUGUAGCGGUGAAAUGCGCAGAUAUCAGGAGGAACACCGGUGGCGAAGGCGGGUCUCUGGGCCGAUACUGACGCUGAGGAGCGAAAGCGUGGGGAGCGAACAGG